rnacentral:rRNA from 1 species
CAGCCGCCGCGGUAAUACGAAGGGGGCUAGCGUUGCUCGGAAUUACUGGGCGUAAAGGGAGCGUAGGCGGAUCGUUAAGUUGGGGGUGAAAGCCCGGGGCUCAACCUCGGAACUGCCUUCAAUACUGGCGAUCUUGAGUAUGAGAGAGGUGUGUGGGACUCCGAGUGUAGAGGUGAAAUUCGUAGAUAUUCGGAAGAACACCAGUGGCGAAGGCGACACACUGGCUCAUUACUGACGCUGAGGCUCGAAAGCGUGGGGAGCAAACAGGAUUAGAUACCCCCGUAGUCCCUGUCUCUUAUAA